rnacentral:tRNA from 1 species
GGGCGGUUAGCUCAGUUGGUUAGAGUGCUUGCUUGACAUGCAAGAGGUCGCUGGUUCAAAUCCAGUACCGCCCACAA